rnacentral:rRNA from 1 species
AUUGAACGCUGGCGGCAUGCUCUACACAUGCAAGUCGAACGGUAACAGGCCGCAAGGUGCUGACGAGUGGCGAACGGGUGAGUAAUGCAUCGGAACGUGCCCAGUCGUGGGGGAUAACUACUCGAAAGAGUAGCUAAUACCGCAUACGAUCUAUGGAUGAAAGCGGGGGACCGUAAGACCUCGCGCGAUUGGAGCGGCCGAUGUCAGAUUAGGUAGUUGGUGGGGUAAAGGCUCACCAAGCCAACGAUCUGUAGCUGGUCUGAGAGGACGACCAGCCACACUGGGACUGAGACACGGCCCAGACUCCUACGGGAGGCAGCAGUGGGGAAUUUUGGACAAUGGGCGCAAGCCUGAUCCAGCAAUGCCGCGUGCAGGAAGAAGGCCUUCGGGUUGUAAACUGCUUUUGUACGGAACGAAACGGCUCUGGUUAAUACCCGGGGCUAAUGACGGUACCGUAAGAAUAAGCACCGGCUAACUACGUG